rnacentral:rRNA from 1 species
GAUGAACGCUAGCGGCAGGCUUAAUACAUGCAAGUCGAGCGCCCCGCAAGGGGAGCGGCAGACGGGUGAGUAACGCGUGGGAAUCUACCCAUCUCUACGGAAUAACGCAUGGAAACGUGUGCUAAUACCGUAUACGUCCUUCGGGAGAAAGAUUUAUCGGAGAUGGAUGAGCCCGCGUUGGAUUAGCUAGUUGGUGGGGUAAAGGCCUACCAAGGCGACGAUCCAUAGCUGGUCUGAGAGGAUGAUCAGCCACACUGGGACUGAGACACGGCCCAGACUCCUACGGGAGGCAGCAGUGGGGAAUAUUGGACAAUGGGCGCAAGCCUGAUCCAGCCAUGCCGCGUGAGUGAUGAAGGCCCUAGGGUUGUAAAGCUCUUUCACCGGUGAAGAUAAUGGCGGUAACCGGAGAAGAAGCCCCGGCUAACUUCGUGCCAGCCGCCGCCGUAACAC